CAGAACUCAAUAUUUAUGGCAUUUACAUGGUUUAUCUCAUGUCUUUUUAUAGCUCUUCAUUGUUCCUAUCUGCCAAAUCAUUAUACUUCCUACAAGCAGUGCAGAGAGCUGAGUCUUCAGCAGGUCCAAGAAAUUUGAACACACUGAAGGAAGUCAGCCUUCCCACCUGAAGAUCAACAUGCCUGGCACUCUAGCACUUGAGGAUAGCUGAAUGAUGUGUAUUUCUUUGUCUCUUUCUUUCUUGUCUUUGCUCUUUGUUCUCUAUCUAAAGUGUGUCUUACCCAUUUCCAUGUUUCUCUUGCUAAUUUCUUUUGUGUGUGCCUUUGCCUCAUUUUCUCUUUUUGUUCACAAGAGUGGUCUGUGUCUUGUCUUAGACAUAUCUCUCAUUUUUCAUUUUGUUGCUAUUUCUCUUUGCUCUCCUAGAUGUGGCUCUUCUUUCACGCUUUAUUUCAUGUCUCCUUUUUGGGUCACAUGCUGUGUGCUUUUUGUCCUUUUCUUGUUCUGUCUACCUCUCCUUUCUCUGCCUACCUCUCUUUUCUCUUUGUGAACUGUGAUUAUUUGUUACCCCUUCCCCUUCUCGUUCGUUUUAAAUUUCACCUUUUUUCUGAGUCUGGCCUCCUUUCUGCUGUUUCUACUUUUUAUCUCACAUUUCUCAUUUCUGCAUUUCCUUUCUGCCUCUCUUGGGCUAUUCUCUCUCUCCUCCCCUGCGUGCCUCAGCAUCUCUUGCUGUUUGUGAUUUUCUAUCUCAGUAUUAAUCUCUGUUGGCUUGUAUUUGUUCUCUGCUUCUUCCCUUUCUACUCACCUUUGAGUAUUUCAGCCUCUUCAUGAAUCUAUCUCCCUCUCUUUGAUUUCAUGUAAUCUCUCCUUAAAUAUUUCUUUGCAUAUGUGGGCAAGUGUACGUGUGUGUGUGUCAUGUGUGGCAGAGGGGCUUCCUAACCCCUGCCUGAUAGGUGCAGAACGUCGGCUAUCAGAGCAAGCAUUGUGGAGCGGUUCCUUAUGCCAGGCUGCCAUGUGAGAUGAUCCAAGACCAAAACAAGGCCCUAGACUGCAGUAAAACCCAAAACUCAAGUAGGGCAGAAGGUGGAAGGCUCAUAUGAAUAGAAGGCCCAAAGUAGAAGACAGAUGGUUUGAGACUUGAGACCCGAGGACUAAGAUGGAAAGCCCAUGUUCCAAGAUAGAUAGAAGCCUCAGGCCUGAAACCAACAAAAGCCUCAAGAGCCAAGAAAACAGAGGGUGGCCUGAAUUGGACCGAAGGCCUGAGUUGGAUGGAAGUCUCAAGGCUUGAGUUAGAAGUCUUAAGACCUGGGACAGGACACAUGGAAGGCCUAAGAACUGAGACUUGUGACACAAGGCCAGCGACCUAAGAUUAGCCCAAGGUUGUAGCUGGAAGACCUACAACCCAAGGAUGGAAGGCCCCUAUCACAAAGCCUACCUAGAUGGAUAGAGGACCCAAGCGAAAAAUCCUUUCUUUUGACCCCAGAAGCCCUAGACUGGGAAGAUAAAAUGGUCAGUUUGUUGGGGAAAAAAAAGUGCCAGGCUCUCUAGAGAAAAAUGUGAAGAGAUGCUCCAGGCCAAUGAGAAGAAUUAGACGAGAAAUACACAGAUGUGCCAGACUUCUGAGAAGCACCUGCCAGCAACAGCUUCCUUCUUUGAGCUUAACACUUCAUUUUCCUAGUCCAUCCCUCAUGAAAAAUGACUGGCCACUGCUGGGCAGCAGGAGGGAUGAUGACCAACUAAUUCCCAAACCCCAGUCUCAUUGGUACCAGCCUUGGGGAACCACCAACACUUGAGCCACAAUUGGUUUUGAAGUGCAUUUACAAUUUCUGGCAUCACUACCACUACUGAUUAAACAAGAAUAAGAGAACAUUUUAUCAUCAUCGGCUUUAUUCAUAUAAAUGAAGUUGUGAUGAAUAAAUCUGCUUUUAUGCAGACACAAGGAAUUAAGUGGCUUCGUCAUUGCCCUUCUACCUCAAAGAGAAUUUAUUCCAAAAGCUAAGAUAAAUGGAAGACUCUUGAACUUGUGAACUGAUGUGAAAUGCAGAAUCUCUUUUGAGUCUUUGCUGUUUGGAAGAUUGAAAAAUAUUGUUCAGCAUGGGUGACCACCAGAAAGUAAUCUUAAGCCAUCUAGAUGUCACAAUUGAAACAAACUGGGGAGUUGGUUGCUAUUGUAAAAUAAAAUAUACUGUUUUGAAAAC
rnacentral:lncRNA from 1 species